GACGAACGCUGGCGGCGUGCUUAACACAUGCAAGUCGAACGGAAAGGCCCUGCUUUUGUGGGGUGCUCGAGUGGCGAACGGGGGAGUAAAACGUGAGUAACCUGCCCUUGACUUUGGGAUAACUUCAGGAAAAUGGGGCUAAUACCGGAUAGGAGCUACUGCUGCAUGGGGGGGGUUGGAAAGUUACGGCGGUUUGGGAUGGACUAGCGGCUUAUCAGCUUGUUGGUGGGGUAGUGGCUUACCAAGGCUUUGACGGGUAGCCGGCCUGAGAGGGUGACCGGCCACAUUGCGCCUGAGAUACGGCCCAGACUCCUACGGGAGGCAGCGGUGGGGAAUAUUGCACAAUGGGCGGAAGCCUGAUGCAGCAACGCCGCGUUCGUGAUGACGGCCUUCGGGUUGUAAACCGCUUUCGCCUGUGACGAAGCGUGAGUGACGGUAAUGGGUAAAGAAGCACCGGCUAACUACGUG
rnacentral:rRNA from 1 species